CAGUGUUACUUGACAGGUGACAAGGUUGGUGUUGAUAUCGUACAAAAUUUGCAUUUGUUUAUUGAAAUUAAUUGGUAAAUAUCAACAAGGAUAAUUAUUUAUGUAUGACAAAGUCAUGCUGAAGGACUGAAAGAAGCAGUUUUCUUUAAAUUAAAUUGAUUUACAGUGAUUUACAUUUGUUACAAAAUAUGGUUUCUGUUCGAGAGUAAUAAAGGUCCUUUAGUCGUAGUUUAUCUCGGGAGUUUGCUGUUGUAACAUCAGGGCAUACAGGAUCGAAGUUUCGAGGCAUUUCCUGUUCAUCGGAGCCGUAGAAGGUUGGACAAGAUGAGGAGCCUGCCUUCAGCAGGCAUGUGUGCCAGUUGCCUAUUAUUAAUAUUGUUUGGUGUCAUCUGAUGUGAUGUUCCCAGUGAGAGGCAAUGUGGCAUCCAUUUUAUAUUGAGGGUGGCGGGUUCCCAGCACAUAGUGUUGCGGAUUGGGAUUUUGAUUAUUUUGAAGAUUUUGGUAUUGUGGAGUUACAUGGAUUUAUUCCUGUUAAUUAUUGUAUUAAGUACAAGACGGUUGCACUUUUGUUGGUUCACUGGAGGUGAACUGUUGGCCGCCGCAAUGACUGCCAGUUUUAAUAAUUACUUCAGGACAUAAGUUUUCUCACACAAUUAUCCAGCAAGCUUUCUUCACAUGAAACAGGUCGUACCUUCUUUCUUUAUUAUUUCUAUGCCGGAUGUCAUUAGCUUCCAACUUAAGAUUUAAAAUUUAAAUUUAGUUAUUAAAUAUCAAUGGUGGCGUUAACUUAUUAGCAUACAUAGAACUCACAGUUUAUACCACUGAGCUAGAUUAAAUAUAGGGAUAUGUAUGUAAUAAUAUUAUAAUUUGCAUUAUAAAGUGAAAGUAAACAUAUUACAUAAAAAUAAACACCUGUAU